rnacentral:rRNA from 1 species
GUCUGUGCGGAUAAAUUGUACAGUCUGACCUGCCCCCUGACGAGUGUUAAAGGGCUGCGGUAUCUCGACCGUGCUAAGGUAGCAUAAUCAAUAGUCUUUUAAUUGAGGUCUAGUAUGAACGGUUGGACAGGAGGUGAGCUGUCUUAAGUAUGUAUUUUGAAUUUUACUUUUAAGUGAGAAGGCUUAAAUUUUGUGGGGGGACGAUAAGACCCUAUAAAGCUUUACUUGUUAGCUUUUAAUUUUAAAAGAUUUAGGUGGUUUAGAUUUUGGGGGCUAAUUAGUUUCGUUGGGGCGACGGGAAUAUAAAUUGUAACUGUUUUUGACGGUAAAACAAAUAUUUUUGGAUAAUUUGAUCCUUUAUAGAGAUUAAAAGAUUAAAGUUACUUUAGGGAUAACAGCGUAAUUUUUUUUGAGAGUUCAUAUCGACAAAAAUAGUUGCGACCUCGAUGUUGAAUUAAGGUGCCGUCAAGGUGUAGCAGUUUUGACAGUGAGUCUGUUCGACUUUUAAAACCUUACAUGAUUUGAGUUCAGACCGGCGUG